rnacentral:rRNA from 1 species
AUUGAACGCUGGCGGAAUGCUUUACACAUGCAAGUCGAGCGGCAGCGCGGGGGCAACCCUGGCGGCGAGCGGCAAACGGGUGAGUAACAUAUCGGAACGUACCCCGUCGUGGGGAUAACACAGCGAAAGCUGUGCUAAUACCGCAUACGACCUGAGGGUGAAAGCGGGGGAUCGCAAGACCUCGCGCGAUGGGAGCGGCCGAUAUCGGAUUAGCUUGUUGGUGAGGUAAAGGCUCACCAAGGCGACGAUCCGUAGCUGGUCUGAGAGGACGACCAGCCACACUGGAACUGAGACACGGUCCAGACUCCUACGGGAGGCAGCAGUGGGGAAUUUUGGGACAAUGGGGGCAACCCUGAUCCAGCCAUUCCGCGUGAGUGAAGAAGGCCUU